AGGCCUGGACAGAGAGGCAGGGUCUGAUCUGUAGCCUUCGUGGCAGCUGUUGAUCAGCCCUUGCCUCUCUCUUUCUCUCCG
rfam:Myotis davidii contig63668, whole genome shotgun sequence.